rfam:Anas platyrhynchos breed Pekin duck contig23326, whole genome shotgun sequence.
CCAAAGGCUCUUUUAAGAGCCAAUACAUAAACCAUAAAAGGAGCUGU